AUACGUAGGUGACAAGCGUUAUCCGGAUUUACUGGGCGUAAAGGGCGUGUAGGCGGUCUUGCAAGUCAGAAGUGAAAUUCCUGAGCUCAACUCGGGCGCUGCUUCUGAAACUGCAGGGCUUGAGGGCUGGAGGGGAUAGCGGAAUUCCUAGGGGUGCGGUAAAAUGCGCAGAUAUUAGGAAGAACACCGGUGGCGAAGGCGGCUAUCUGGACAGUAACUGACGCUGAGGCGCGAAAGCGUGGGGAGCAAACAGGAUUAGAUACCCUGGUAGUCCACGCAGUAAACGAUGAUGACUAACCGUCGGCGAUAGACCGCCGGUGGCCAAGCGAAAGCGAUAAGUCAUCCACCUGGGGAGUACGACCGCAAGGUUGAAACUUAAAGGAAUUGACGGGG
rnacentral:rRNA from 1 species